rnacentral:misc_RNA from 1 species
CCAAUAGCGUAUAUUAAAGUUGUUGCAGUUAAAAAGCUCGUAGUUGAAUUUCGGGAUCAAUAUGUUGGUCGUGCCUUGGUACGUACUGGCGUCAUUGAUUUCUACCUUCUGAAGAACCUCGAUGUCAUUAAUUUGGUGUCUUGGGGAAUCAGGACUGUUACUUUGAAAAAAUUAGAGUGUUUAAAGCAAGCUCACGCUUGAAUACAUUAGCAUGGAAUAAUGAAAUAGGACGUUCGAUUCUAUUUUGUUGGUUUCUAGGAUCGACGUAAUGAUUAAUAGGGAUAGUUGGGUGCAUUAGUAUUCAAUUGUCAGAGGUGAAAUUCUUGGAUUUAUUGAAGACUAACUACUGCGAAAGCAUUUGCCAAGGAUGUUUUCAUUAAUCAAGAACGAAAGUUAGGGGAUCGAAGACGAUCAGAUACCGUCGUAGUCUUAACCAUAAACUAUGCCGACUAGGGAUCGGAUGAUGUUAAUUUUUUAAUGACUCAUUCGGCGCCUUACG